AGCGAACGCUGGCGGCGUGCUUAACACAUGCAAGUCGAGCGAGAAAGGGGGCUUCGGCCCCUGAGUACAGCGGCGAACGGGUGCGUAAUACAUGAGCAAUCUACCCUUGAGGCGGGAAUAACCCAGCGAAAGUUGGGCUAAUACCGGAUAAGACCACAAGAGGAAACUCUAGAGGUCAAAGGCAGCUUUCUUUUGGGGGCGGCCCUUCGAGGAGGAGCUCAUGUCCUAUCAGCUAGUUGGUAGGGUAACGGCCUACCAAGGCGAAGACGGGUAGCUGGUCUUAGAGGAUGAUCAGCCACACGGGGACUGAGACAUGGCCCCGACUCCUACGGGAGGCAG
rnacentral:rRNA from 1 species